CGCGUAGGCGGCUCAUAAAGGCUGUGGUGAAAGUUCGGGGCUCAACCUCGAAUCGGCCGUGGCGACUUGUGGGCUGGAGCACUGUAGAGGCAGGUGGAAUUCCGGGUGUAGCGGUGGAAUGCGUAGAGAUCCGGAAGAACACCAGUGGCGAAGGCGGCCUGCUGGGCAGUGGCUGACGCUGAGGCGCGAAAGCGUGGGAGCAAACA
rnacentral:rRNA from 1 species